rnacentral:rRNA from 1 species
UACGGAGGGUGCGAGCGUUGUCCGGAAUUAUUGGGCGUAAAGAGCUCGUAGGUGGCCUGUCGCGUCGGCUGUGAAAACUCGGGGCUCAACUCCGAGCUUGCAGUCGAUACGGGCAGGCUAGAGUUCGGCAGGGGAGACUGGAAUUCCUGGUGUAGCGGUGAAAUGCGCAGAUAUCAGGAGGAACACCGGUGGCGAAGGCGGGUCUCUGGGCCGUAACUGACGCUGAGGAGCGAAAGCGUGGGGAGCGAACAGG